rnacentral:misc_RNA from 1 species
UUUCCGUAGGUGAACCUGCGGAAGGAUCAUUACAGAGUUCAUGCCCUCACGGGUAGAUCUCCCACCCUUGAAUAUUAUACCUUCGUUGCUCUGGCAGGCCGUGGAAACACCAGAGGCUCCGGCUGAUGCGUGCCUGCCAGAGGAAACAAACUCUGUUUUUAGUGAUGUCUGAGUACUAUAUAAUAGUUAAAACUUUCAACAACGGAUCUCUUGGUUCUG